rnacentral:ncRNA from 1 species
AGAAUUUCUGUGAAGAGGAGAGUACUAUAGUUGAUUCUUAAAGCGAGUAAGGGAUGGUGUAAGCCUUAUGAGAUAUAUUAUAGGAAAAGAGCCUUGGAGAAAUCACCUGAAAUUUUAAAAAAGUAGGGAUGAUCGCAACAACUUGCGUUAAAAGUUAAGUGGUAUUUUUGUAGUAUAAAUAUAUUAUAAAAAUACAAUUAGAGUGGUACCGCGGAUAAUUCGUCUCUUAA